GCAGUCGAGCGGAAUUUUAUUGGUGCUUGCACCUUUAAAAUUUUAGCGGCGGACGGGUGAGUAACACGUGGGUAACCUACCUUAUAGAUUGGGAUAACUCCGGGAAACCGGGGCUAAUACCGAAUAACACUUUUUAACACAUGUUUUGAAGUUGAAAGACGGCAUCUCGCUGUCACUAUAAGAUGGACCCGCGGCGCAUUAGCUAGUUGGUGAGGUAACGGCUCACCAAGGCAACGAUGCGUAGCCGACCUGAGAGGGUGAUCGGCCACACUGGGACUGAGACACGGCCCAGACUCCUACGGGAGGCAGCAGUAGGGAAUCUUCCACAAUGGACGAAAGUCUGAUGGAGCAACGCCGCGUGAGUGAAGAAGGAUUUCGGUUCGUAAAACUCUGUUGCAAGGGAAGAACAAGUAGCGUAGUAACUGGCGCUACCUUGACGGUACCUUGUUAGAAAGCCACGGCUAACUACGUGCCAGCAGCCGCGGUAAUACGUAGGUGGCAAGCGUUGUCCGGAAUUAUUGGGCGUAAAGCGCGCGCAGGUGGUUCCUUAAGUCUGAUGUGAAAGCCCCCGGCUCAACCGGGGAGGGUCAUUGGAAACUGGGGAACUUGAGUGCAGAAGAGGAUAGUG
rnacentral:rRNA from 1 species